rnacentral:rRNA from 1 species
AAUGGCUGCAGUAAUUUGACUGUACAAAGGUAGCAUAAUCAUUAGUUUUUUAAUUAAAAGCUUGUAUGAAAGGUUGGACGAGAUAAAAUCUGUCUCUUUUUAAUAUAAUUAGAAUUUAAUUUUUAAGUUAAAAAGCUUAAAUUUAUAUAAAAGACGAGAAGACCCUAUAGAGUUUUAUAGUUUUAAUUUAUUAAUUAAUUUAGAUUUAUUAAUUUUAUUUUUUUAAAAUUAUUUUAUUGGGGUAAUAGAAAGAUAAAAAAAAUUCUUUUUUUUAAAAAUCAUUAAUUUAUGAAAAUUUUAUGAUCCAUUAAAUUUUGAAUAUAAGAUUAAAUUACCUUAGGGAUAACAGCGUAAUUUUUUUAAAGAGUUCAUAUCGAUAAAAAAGUUUGCGACCUCGAUGUUGGAUUAAAGAUUAAUUUAGGUGUAGAAGUUUAAAUUUUUGGUCUGUUCGACCAUUAAAUCUUUACAUGAUCUGAGUUCAAACCGGUGUAAGCCAGGUUGGUUUCUAUCUUUAUAAAAUUUUUAUAUUUUAGUACGAAAGGACCAGAUAUAUUAUAUAUAAAUAUUUAAAUUAUUGAAUAU